rnacentral:rRNA from 1 species
UACGUAGGCGCAAGCGUUAUUCGGAUUCACUGGGCGUAAAGGGUGCGCAGGCGGUUGAGUGUGUCAGAUGUGAAAUCCCGAGGCUCAACCUCGGAACUGCGUCUGAAACUACUCGACUAGAGUACUGGAGAGGGUAACGGAAUUCACGGUGUAGCAGUGAAAUGCGUAGAUAUCGUGAGGAACACCAGAGGCGAAGGCGGUUACCUGGACAGUUACUGACGCUCAGGCACGAAAGCAUGGGGGAGCAAAAGGG